UUACAAAAACAAGUAAGGAAGGGCUAAGUUCGGGUGUCACCGAACAUUUUAUACUCUCGCAUGAUAAAGUGAUAAUCGAGAUUUCAUUAUCCGUCAUUUACAUAUUUUUUUAUUUUGCUGUAAAAUUAAUUAGAAUUAAAUUCUGAGAGAUUUACCGAUAUUUUCGGUGAAAAAUUAGGUUAGGUUAGGUUAGGCACUGAGUUCUUCGUGUUCGAUAUCAGGGACCUUGAAAAGUUAUAGUCCGAUCACGGAAAUUUUUCCACAAGGGAUACCUCAGCUCAAAUACCGUGUUUGUGUAAAGUUUUAUUCCGCUAUCAUCAUUGGUUCCUAAUGUAUAUAUUAUACAGAGAAGGCAUCAGAUGGA